GACGAACGCUGGCGGCGUGCUUAACACAUGCAAGUCGAACGAAGAGCGAUGGAAGCUUGCUUCUAUCAAUCUUAGUGGCGAACGGGUGAGUAACGCGUAAUCAACCUGCCCUUCAGAGGGGGACAACAGUUGGAAACGACUGCUAAUACCGCAUACGAUCUAACCUCGGCAUCGAGGAAAGAUGAAAGGUGGCCUCUAUGUAUAAGCUAUCACUGAAGGAGGGGAUUGCGUCUGAUUAGCUAGUUGGAGGGGUAACGGCCCACCAAGGCGAUGAUCAGUAGCCGGUCUGAGAGGAUGAACGGCCACAUUGGGACUGAGACACGGCCCAGACUCCUACGGGAGGCAGCAGUGGGGAAUCUUCCGCAAUGGACGAAAGUCUGACGGAGCAACGCCGCGUGAGUGAUGACGGCCUUCGGGUUGGAAAGCUCUGUUAAUCGGGACGAAAGGCCUUCUUGCGAAUAGUGAGAAGGAUUGACGGUACCGGAAUAGAAAGCCACGGCUAACUACGUG
rnacentral:rRNA from 1 species